CUUCCUCACAACCAAAAGAAGAUAUGUUGAGAUUAUUAUCUCCUUAUUGAUAUUAGGGUUAAACUACUUUUGAACACGAGUCAAUCAUCUUCAUUUGCAUCGAAUCUCGAACUCUUAAUUCAGAUAAAUUUAGUAUUUUAAUUUUUUUCCUUCAACUAAAACCUUAGCUCCAAGAUAAACUCUAAUAAUAUGAGAAUAAAAUGAAAAAUCCCAAAUCUCAAAUUAAUCUGCAUAUGAGAUAUUACUAAGAAAGGAGAGUUGAAAUUUUACCUUAGCAGCCAAAUAUUCAAAACGAAACGAUCAAAUAAAUCUGAGCACCUAAUCCAACAUGUCCAUACUAACGGUAUUUUUUUAAUACCGAAAAUUCUAUCUACCAACAAUUAGAGACCGACAUUAACAAAUAAUUAAAAAAAAAGAUUCAAAACAAUUAACCGAAAUUCACUUUUUACAAAUUAAGCAUUCAUCUAAAACAAAGGAGAUAAUAUAUGAAAGAAAGAAAGAAACUAAAAUACCCAAAAAGGAAAAGAAUUACCUCUAGGAUGUAGAAGAAAAAUAAUUCAAUCGUCCAGCAUUGUUAUUGUGCACAAGUUGCAUUUUUCAUGUCAGUCUCACAAAAUUAAGCCUUAGCGGUUAGUUAUUCGUCUAUAUCUUAAUUAAUUAGUCCACUUUGCCUACAAUAUUCACUUGUCUUUCAAUAGAUUUACAAAUGAUAAUGCAGAGUGUUGUUACUCAAGUACACCAUUACUUUUCUAAAGCAAGUUUGUUUUCUUCAAACUUUAUAUACUUUAAAAAGAGAGAAAACUAAUAAUUCUACUUUAUUCUCACGACCAAAAAAAAGAUAUUUUUUUGUGUAUAUGUCAUAGCUUGGGUAGAAACCCACCUAAAAAGUCAUUAACAUUAUUUAUCACUUUACAAACUAGGAGACUCCAAAAACAUAAUAUAGAAUGAGGCAUACCUUUAUCAGAUUUCGAAACUAUGGAUGCCGCUAGAACAACCUGCAGAACAUAUACAAACUUUUUGUAGCUAUCAUCACAAUGCUUUCAGAAUCAAUUAAUAUUCUCUAACUUUUGGCAAAACAAUAACAAAUUUAAAUCUGAAAUAUGAAGUUAUAAAUUUAUCGAGCACCAUAAGGCACUAACAUAUAUAUUACCACCUUCGCUGCUUAGUAAAUUUAUUCGGAGCAGAUACAAACAAUAGGUGAUAUAUCACCUUGCUUCGAGCGCAAAUUUGACGCCUUUAGAAAUAACAUAAAACUUCUCAAACAAUUACUUAUGAGUAUGAGAUUGAAAGUUGUUACCAAUGCGAUAAAUGCAACAAAGAAUCAAAUUAAAUGACAGUUGCUUGCCAUGAGAUAUUUGUUUUGCGAUUGGAUCUAGCUAUCAUCUUCUUCCAUCUUCCCCUCGCAUUCUACUACGCAAGAGCAAAAUGAAUUGUCUGUAUUUUAGAACAUGCAAAAGAAGUGAAAAUAUAGAAAGAAUAGAACAUGAACGGUUUCUGCAAAAAAUGAAGGUUCGUGUGUUUUCA
rnacentral:lncRNA from 1 species